GAUGAACGCUGACAGAAUGCUUAACACAUGCAAGUCUACUUGAACUUCGGUUUGGGUGGCGGCCGGGUGAGUAACGCGUAAAGAACUUGCCUCACAGUUAGGGACAACAUUUGGAAACGAAUGCUAAUACCUGAUAUUAUGAUUUUAGGGCAUCCUAGGAUUAUGAAAGCUAUAUGUGCUGUGAGAGAGCUUUGCGUCCCAUUAGCUAGUUGGAGAGGUAACGGCUCACCAAGGCGAUGAUGGGUAGCCGGCCUGAGAGGGUGAACGGCCACAAGGGGACUGAGACACGGCCCUUACUCCUACGGGAGGCAGCAGUGGGGAAUAUUGGACAAUGGACCAAAAGUCUGAUCCAGCAAUUCUGUGUGCACGAUGACGUUUUUCGGAAUGUAAAGUGCUUUCAGUUGGGGAGAAAAAAAUGACGGUACCAACAGAAGAAGUGACGGCUAAAUACGUG
rnacentral:rRNA from 1 species